rnacentral:rRNA from 1 species
AGUGAACGCUGGCGGUAGGCCUAACACAUGCAAGUCGAACGGCAGCACAGUAAGAGCUUGCCCUUACGGGUGGCGAGUGGCGGACGGGUGAGGAAUACAUCGGAAUCUACUUUUUCGUGGGGGAUAACGUAGGGAGACUUACGCUAAUACCGCAUACGACCUACGGGUGAAAGCAGGGGAUCUUCGGACCUUGCGCGAUUGAAUGAGCCGAUGUCGGAUUAGCUAGUUGGCGGGGUAAAGGCCCACCAAGGCGACGAUCCGUAGCUGGUCUGAGAGGAUGAUCAGCCACACUGGAACUGAGACACGGUCCAGACUCCUACGGGAGGCAGCAGUGGGGAAUAUUGGACAAUGGGCGCAAGCCUGAUCCAGCCAUACCGCGUGGGUGAAGAAGGCCUUCGGGUUGUAAAGCCCUUUUGUUGGGAAAGAAAAGCAGCAGGUUAAUACCCCGCUGUUCUGACGGUACCCAAAGAAUAAGCACCGGCUAACUUCGUG